rnacentral:lncRNA from 1 species
UAACUAUUUACCAAUCACUUAAUCCUGCAUUAGUUAUUAGCUCAUCAAUGAAUCUCAAUUCAAUCUCUAGGCAUACAUGUUGUAAGCCACAUCACAAGAGAUAAUAACAUACAUGCAUAAGAAUAAUCAUAUGGCCCAUAACGAUAUUAGCCGACAUAGGCCAAUUUACAUGACUAAUACUACCUUAAUAACAAGCCAAUGCCUUUGGCUAAAUCAUAAUAUUACAUACUCACAUUAAAACCCUAUACAUGCCAUAGACUAGAAUCACUUGAGUUUACUUACGCCGAUAGCGUUAACUCGACAGUGUGAUAAUAUCUCUAACGGCCUUCAACCCGAGCUAACCUGGAAACUCUAGAAAACAUGGGAAAGAAGGGGGGUAAGCUUUCGCUUAGUAAGUUCAUAUGAAAACAAUAAGCAACUCAUUAACUUGUUUUAUCAAUGUUUACAACAUAUUCUCAAGUUCACUGCAAGCUGUCUUCCUGAGCAAUAGUCACUAAAUUAUUUAUAUCUGGAGCUACGAAACUCCAAAUUAAGUUCCGUUAAUUUUUCCUGAAACUAGACUCAUUUAUCUUUCUUUCAUAAAAUUUCCAGAAUUUUUGACUUAGCCAAUUAGUACAGUUUACUCCUCAAGUUUGCUCCUGAUUCACUGUCUCACAGUUUCAACCCUUCUGCACUAAAGUUCAAUUAUCUCAUAGUACAGGAUUCGAAUAAUGUUCUCGUCUAUUUAUCUUGAAAUUAUACUCAUAUGUAUACUUACUAAUUUUUUUCUAGAAUUUUUGGUCAAGCCAUUUAGUACAGUUUAUUAGUUAAAGUCUCCCCUGUUUCAGGGUAUGACCACUCUGACCCUUGUGUACUACGAACCGAAUUUCUCCCUGUACAAAAUUCCAACGACGAUGCCAUUUUUUCCCUUAAAAAUAGACUCAAUAAGGAAUCCAUGCAAGUAAGGUAUGACUCUUAAUAAUUUUUUUACAAUUUAUGAUGAAUUUCUAAAGUUAGAAUAGGGGAUCUCGAAUUCAUUCAGAUCCUGUUUUACAAGAAUUCAAAUAUCACACAAUAUAGAAUUCUUUUUCUUCCUCUGUUUCUUUCAUGUGAAAAUAGACUCAUUAAGCUUUAAUCUCAUUUUUUAUUCUGCCUCUAACUAAUUUUCCACUAUUUUUAGUGUAUUUUCAAAGUUACAUUACUAUAGUAACUCAAAUUUGUCAAUGCUAAGUUACUCAUUCAUGAUCAUUGUUCACAAAAUUAAUACAACAUCAUUUCAUCCAUCAUGGUAAGAACACAUAUUAUGCAUCAUAGAUCAUCACAUAUCAAGGCAUUCUCAUAGGCUUAAUAUACAUACUUGCACAACUCGUAACAUAACUCAAGUGUAUACUCACCAAUGACUUACCUCGUUGGGACCAUCAUCAACUCUUUCCUUGGAUUACCCGUUGAACACUUGGAAUACUAAUUGGAUACUCGGAAAAGCCUUUGCACAUAAGUGCCUCAAUUGUAGCUAAAGCUACCUCAUAUCUCAUGACAUUUCAAUGCUCACUCUCGAGCUAGUCAUCUAGACUUAUAAUUUCUAGUGACAUGUCACUCGUAUCCUAUUCUAUUUCUAAGGUUCAAACGGGAUUUUUCCUCAUCUAUUAAGGCUUUGUCUUAUCAUAUUUCUAUUAAUCACAUACACUUAAUAUUUGUACAAUUCAUGUAAUGAUAACAUUUAAAUACAUGUAUAGCAUGGUAUUGUUUACAUACAAACUUACCUCGAUACCACAAAGGUGAAAAGGACAUAAUCAUCCCUUAAUCGAUUUCUUUCCGUUCUAGGUUCAAAUCUCGAUUUUCUUGAUCUAUAAUAUCACAUUUAGCCUACCAAUCAGUCACAAUAUUCAUAUGGGUCUAAAAAUCAUAUUUUUACAAAUUUUCAUUUUGACCCCUAAACUUUUGCAUAUUUGCACUUUUGCCUCAAUGCUCGUAAAAUAAUUUUUAUCACAUUUCUUUACUCCUUGAGUCUAGAUGAACCAUUUUCAUAACUAUAUCAACUCAUAAUUUCAACUAUUUUACACAUUACAACUUAUUUUACAACUUAGCAAUCUAGCCCUUUUUUAAGGUGUUUUCAUGUAAUUUCUUUCACAAAAGUUGUUUAUUAGACAACUAGGACUCAUAAUCUUCCAUAAAAACACAGAAAACAACACAUUUACUCUCAUGGCAAAACCCUAGACUCUUCAUCAUUUUUCAAAAUAGUCCCCUCUUAUGAAAGCUCAUGCUUUAGGGGUUCCAAAAAUGUAAAAAUCAUCAAGCAAAGACAUUAAAAUCACUUACAAGCAAGGGAAAUAUGUUGCUGAAAUUUUCCAGCUUCAAAACCCUUUCUUUGCUGCAUAUUUCGGUGAAGGAGAAGAGAAAAAUGAUAGCUUUUUCUUUUUUAUUUGUUAACAAUAAAACUAGUCAAAAUUGGUGACCAAAUUUCACCUAAAUUUGACUUUUCAACAAUUUUGUCUCCCAUGGCCGGCCAUCACACUUUCAAUGGCCUAAUUUCACUUUAAAAACCCCCAAUUUAAGAUACAAGGCAAUUUAACACACCUUUAGGUAUUAAAACACAACUUUUACCUUUUACGCGAUUUAGUCCUUUUUCGAAAUUGGACUAGAAAUUGCUAAAAUUAACUUACCAAAAUUUACAUGCACUUAUAAAAUUAUAUUAUAACACAUAAAAUAAUACUAAAAUAAUUUUAUCUAGUCUCGAAAUAGUGGUCCCGAAACCACUGUUCCGACUAGGCCCAAAAUCGGGCUGUUACAUUUCUUCCCCCUUUAGGGAUUUUCGUCCCCGAAAAUCUUACCAGAAAAAGUUGCUCUCUACUUUCACGAGUCACUUAUAUCUUUUUCUCAAAACUUACAAAACAACUCAGCUGAAGCUGAUACUCAGGAUUUCUGUAACCUUUCCACAAUUACCAUAAAAUUCUCGGCUCAAUUCGAAAUACUGAAAACUGACAUUCUAAGAACUAUAAGCUUAGAAACACAACUCGUCCCAAUCCGUCUAACAAUACCUCUGUAUAUACCAAAAUAGUCAUGCGGACUACUAUCAUCAAUCUAUCACAAUCUAUUAUGGUAUCUCUUAUUUCCCGGAGAAGAGAGACAUCCCGAUACAAAAUUCAUACUAAUCAUUUCUCAAUUUUCUCUUUCAAUGUCAGCAUUGACAAUUAUAAUCUUGAAUAUAUCUGAUAAUCGGCUUUCCCCGGUAGUCAAUUUAACAUCCUUUGGAAGAAUAAACAAAAGACUGCUGUGAACUCUGUACACACUUCUCUGCAUAGCCUGGAGUUUCUCAGUACCCUAAUCUUACUCUGAAAUAAUAGUAACAGAAACCAGAAAUCAAAUCAUCCUUGCAAUUCCAAAUUAAAAGUCGAAUCAUGCUGUACUUGUUUAAUUUACCACUUAUAGCCACAUUUCUAUACUCUGAUCAUCAACUGUUUAGAAACUUUACUAACAUGAAUCAAAUGAUUCCAACUUCAUAGAUGUGGUCUCUUUACUAAUCAGGAUAACUAUACUUAUAACAUCUCUUGGACAAGAGAAAUCCAACUAAUAUGUUUCCAUAACAUACUUUCAAGAAUGAAACCCCAUCAUUUCUGACUGUACGACUACUUACCAAAGAACAUGUAAUGGUAUUCUCGAACCAGAGAAUAAACUUAAAUGCACAUAACUCAGAUUUACUUUUGCAGAAUAACCAUUCAUUUCCCCAAGAUUUUAAAGAAAUCUCGACACUGAACUCCCCACACUUUUAUGGUUGAGCCAGAAGCUUAAUCAUAACAGAUUCUAAUAUCGCAAGUCAAAGAUUACUUGUAAAGAUAAACCAAGCUUGAUAAUUCUCGAAACAAGAACGAGAGAAAAAUCAAUAUAAGAAAUUCCAAGAUAUAAAGACUAUACCAGAAAUCCGAGAAUAUAAUCUAGAAGAAAAUAAUGAAGAUGGUCCGGAAAAUCCCUCAGAGAAAACCAGAAAGAAACUACUGUCUGUACGCUCUAGAAUUUCUCGUAACAGAGAUAAUAUAAUUCUCGCAUAUAUAAACCAUAAUCAAAUAGAACAUCAGAAUAAUCUUACAUAGAUUUUUACUGUCAACUUUAUUCCAAUAUAUCAGAAUAGAAAUCUGAAGAGAUGAGGAAAUGUAGAUCAUAACUAACUGGACCAAUAGAACUUUUCAUCUAAUAUCAUAGUCACUAGCAUCCUCACACAAUAGAAUUCUCAGUCGAAAGGGAUAACCAUACGUAUUCCCCAGAAUAGAGGAAAACAUAGAAUACUCAGAAGAGAAAGAUAGCCAUCACUUUUGUUUAAUUGAAUUCGUCAUACUCAGACAUCUGUGCAAGUCCGACAUUAUUCCUCUAACUAAUUCUAUCUUCGCUAAUCUCAUACUAUUCCAUUUUUGUACUCUUCAGUUUCACUUUUGCAAGCUUAUGCAACAUAUCUCUCGAGAAUCUCAUCUUAUAACUCUAUUCUGGUAAGGGGGCGAAGAUUGUAAAGCCUCUAAACUUUUGACUCUCAAGCAAAUACAUAUUCAACAACAACAUAGCUUUACGCAUAUUGAUUCAAACAUUUCAAAUUUCCAACUUGUUAUAAACACAUUUUCACAUAUCUCAGUAAUACAUGUAACUUUAUUUCAUGCGAAUAUUAGCUAAACAUAAGUGAAUUUAUCAUAACUCAAACUUUCAUUUCUUUUUCUCAAAUUACCCUUAAUGUUUUAUCAAAUUCCCAUAUUUAGUCUUAAUCACUUGCCAAUAUUUAUCAAAUUGGAGAACGUCUUACGAUUUUGAGUACAUCGUUUACUUGAUGCCAUAGUUCAACUAUGGUCUUGUACUAGCUUUCAUCCAUCUGUGUCGAUGUCGUGUCCCAGACAGGUCUUACACUGACACAUGUAACCGUGCUGACGCAUGUCCCAGACAUGUCUUACACUAGUACAUCUCGUAGCCGACGCAUGUCCCAGACAUGUCUGACACUGGCUAACAUCUCGAGGCCGAUGCAUGUCCCAGACAUGUCUUACACUGGCUCUCAUACUGUGGCUGAUGCAUGACCUAGACAUGUCUUACACUAGGCCUUUUCUCAAUGCCGAUUCCAUGUCCCAGACAUGGUCUUACACUGGCACACAAAUCUCAUGUAUUGCCACGGUCUAACCAUAGUCAUUUCCGUCAAUUCAUUAGUGAACGAUCGUACGCAUUCCCUGCGUUCCACCCAAUUUGAUCUUUCAUUACAACUUUCAUGCUAUUGUGACAUUUAUGAUUCUGUAAGUAAGAUUAUAAGGCAUAACAUUUCGGCAUCUUGACUUCAUUAAUCUAGACAAAAAUGUCAACCUCAUGUAUAUACUGAUUACUAAUCAUGCAAUUAAAGCAUUCAUACAUACACUCUGUCACUUCAAGCAAAUUUCUUUCUUUUCAUAAACACUUGGCCAAAUCAAGUUGGACAUUUAACAUCGUAUGAAUACUAACAUGCAUAAAAAUGUUUUUCACAACUUAACUGUGUUUUACUCCACUAUUUCACAUUCUUUAACUCAAGAGUAUCACAUAGUGAAUACUAGUUCAUAUGAAAAUCAUGAAUAUCUUUUCAUACCUUUCCCAUUUUCAGCAUGUCACAAGCAUGAUUCAAUAAUCUCAACUUUACUCUUAUCUUUAUCAAGAUUUGCUCGGUUCGAAUUCAUUCCUGUCUUAACCAGCAGUUUUGUUAGGGCCGAGAGAUAUCACACUAUCACGAGUAAUACUAUGGCAUGUAUAGCUAGACUCUCUUACGCUAGAUUAGUCCGAGAACCGGCUAAACCAUGCUCUGAUACCACUAAAUAUAACACCCCUCGCCCGCAUCCGACGCCUGGACGGGGUUCAAGGUGCUACCUGACUUUUACUAACACUUCCAUACUAAACAGGACCAUGAAAUCUCAAAUAAUUAAAAACUUUUCUUUUAUCAUGCAAUCUGUCCUUUAUGCGAGCUUACGAGGCCCAAUACAUGCAUUCGGGAUGGUUCGGGACCCAACCGAGAACUCAUGAAAAACUUAGGAAAUCUCUUGUAUCAAGGCUCCACACGCCCGUGUAGGUAUAGAACACACGCUCGGGUGCUAAGAACACGCCCGUGUCCCGAACCCAUGUCCAAAACCUGGACAAAUACAAGGCUAUUUUCCAAGCCAUUUUGUCCCACUCACAACACAUGCACGGAUACUUAUACAAUAGCAUACAACAUGGCAAAAUUAGGCACUUAAACCUUCCUAACAUGACAUGACCAUGGUAAUUUCACAUACAACCAUUACAAUAAGUUUUUCUUUCAUCUUUACCAGAUUAAUGCUAUAGCUAUCAACAUGUCAUCAAACCUCAUGUCCAUCACAAAGCAUGAAUAAUCAUAUCCACAAACCAUUUAUGAAGCAUAUUAACUAUUUACCAAUCACUUAAUCCUGCAUUAGUUAUUAGCUCAUCAAUGAAUCUCAAUUCAAUCUCUAGGCAUACAUGUUGUAAGCCACAUCACAAGAGAUAAUAACAUACAUGCAUAAGAAUAAUCAUAUGGCCCAUAACAAUAUUAGCCGACAUAGGCCAAUUUACUUGACUAAUACUACCUUAAUAACAAGCCAAUGCCUUUGGCUAAAUCAUAAUAUUACAUACUCACAUUAAAACCCUAUACAUGCCAUAGACUAGAAUCACUUGAGUUUACUUACGCCGAUAGCGUUAACUCGACAGUGAGAUAAUAUCUCUGACGGCCUUCAACCCGAGCUAACCUGGAAACUCUAGAAAACAUGGGAAAGAAGGGGGGUAAGCUUUCGCUUAGUAAGUUCAUAUGAAAACAAUAAGCAACUCAUUAACUUGUUUUAUCAAUGUUUACAACAUAUUCUCAAGUUCACUGCAAGCUGUCUUCCUGAGCAAUAGUCACUAAAUUAUUUAUA